CAGAAAGCAGAAGCAAAAGAAGAAAAAAGAAGGAAUAUUCAAAGAUAAAGCAGCCCAAUCUUUGAUUUAUAUAUUUACUUCCAAAAUCGUUGGAUCUUGUGAAAUUCUUUAAAUCUGUUUUGCCUAACCAAGCUCAAUAAUAUGAUGUCCAGUUGUCCAACAAAAAGUCUAUUCCUAUUAUUAAACAUACAUCUAAAGCUGAAUCACUGUUCAUUCAACUGUUCAUUUAAUAGUGAAAUGACUAUUUUUCCCUUGCUCUUUUCCUUCAAUUACAGUCUGCCAUCCUUCUAUAAUCUUCUCCUCAUUUAAUUGCUGCCAGAACAAUCCAGAGAGAUUAUGAACGAUAGAGAAACAGAGAGAGGGAGUGCGUGUGUUUCUUUGCUUUGCACGAAGAGAUAGAGAGAGAUCAUCAUCUCAGCAAGAGGUCGGUUGCUCUUUGUCACGAGUGUGAUCGGAGAGGUACACAAGGAAAGAAGUGGGAAAGGGAUUUGGGUUUUGAUCACAAGGUUUUUAUUAAGCGGUUUGUAUCAAAUCUCUUCUCAGCUUUCAUCACCAACUCUAAAAAUUUGGGUUCGUCAUCCGCAUGGGUAAUUAGUUGAGCGGAUUCUGGGUGUUUUCUCAUCUUUGGUUUUGGGUGACAAGCUAUUUAGUUGUACCCCGGAAACUCAUAGAGACAGAGAGGAGGCAAAGUUAAGAGAAAAGAACAGGAGAAGAAGACAACGACGUUCAUAGGCUAUCAGUUCAGUUGUUUUUGUCCUUUCAACACAUCGGCCUUUGGAAUGUUCAGUUGUUCAAUUUGAUCGGUUAGUCCGCCUCUCUUGCACCAUUUACAUUUACUGUUUCUGGGUUUUUGUUUGUGUUCAUCAAAACUGAUUAUCAUACUGGUUUAGCUUUGACUAAUGUUCAUUUCUUUGUUAAAGUUUGAAUGUUUGAUCGGAUUGAUUGAUGUUUGAUCAGGUGGUUGUGUAAGAGCUAUUAAUUUGAGAAAAUGGGAGUGUGGGAAAUGUGAUAGUAAACAACUCUAUGAAUUUUGGUUUCGCUUUAAACUACUUUUGUUUUUAUUCUUUGAUACCCACCACAUCAAGGGGAAUUAUUUCAACCUCUCAACUACGCAUGUUAUGAUGUUGUCUUAAUAAUUGAAGGAAACCAUAGAUGCUCUUCCCUA